CAGCUUGUCAUCAAGUGUGAUGCAGUCACAAUGCUGCUGUAUGAUGUAAUGGUUUUCAUUUUUUCCUUUUUAUUCAAAAAACUUACUAGAGUAAAAUCUCUCACGUUCCAGUGUUCAAAUAUGCAGCAACAGAAUUGCCAAGCCUGGAGCGGCGUAUCUGGAGCAGUCAGAGAGAGGAUGAACAUACACUCGACUGAUCCCGCACAGAUCAGACCAGAGAGAUCGCGCCUGACUGUGUGAGGUUCCAGAUGGGGUUUCCAUGGUUACCCGCGGAUGCAUUAUGGAAUGUAAAGCUCAAAGACUUUCUCUAAAGAACACUAAUGACUCAGAAAACUGCAAUGAAAGAGGUUUUCCGUUUAUCACCCAUUCUGUGGGGAAAAUGCGUCAUCGCCACAAAAGGAGGAAAGGAUCGGCGCGGAAGACCUUCCUCGAAGAUGAAGAAACGCUAACUGCCUUUCGAAACAUGGAUUCAGUUCACAGAGGUUUUGCAGUGUUUGACUUAUGAGUCCGCCGUUGUCAUCUGUUAUCUUUGUUAAUUCAUUCUAGUACAAACUGUGUCGUGGAGCUCCGCAUUGGGAACAAGAGAACUGAAAGAGAGAAGGGGACCAUGUGGAAAGAAAAAGAGCGAGAGGCAGUAUAUUUACACCAGUUAUAUGUAGUAUUUUAUCAUAACUCAUAUUAUCAUUAUUUUAAACAUCACUAUUGCUUUAAUCAGUAUUUUACCCUUAGAUUGAGACAGAAUUCUGAGCGUUUGAUGCAUU